rnacentral:rRNA from 1 species
UACGUAGGGAGCAAGCGUUGUCCGGAAUCAUUGGGCGUAAAGCGCGCGUAGGCGGCCCUGUAAGUCCGUUGUGAAAGUCAAAGGCUCAACCUUUGAAAGCCGAUGGAUACUGCAGGGCUAGAGUCCGGAAGAGGCGAGUGGAAUUCCUGGUGUAGCGGUGGAAUGCGCAGAUAUCAGGAGGAACACCAAUAGCGAAGGCAGGUCUCUGGGCCACUACUGACGCUGAGAAGCGAAAGCAUGGGGAGCGAACAGG